AGAGUUUGAUCAUGGCUCAGGACGAACGCUGGCGGCGUGCCUAACACAUGCAAGUCGAACGGGGUGAGGCCCUUCGGGACUUUUACCUAGUGGCGAACGGGUGAGUAACGCGUGAGGAACCUGCCUUUCAGUGGGGGACAACAGUUGGAAACGACUGCUAAUACCGCAUGAAGCUUUUGGGAGACAUCUCCUGGAAGCCAAAGCUUAAUGUGCUGAAAGAUGGCCUCGCGUCUGAUUAGCUAGUUGGUGGGGUAACGGCCCACCAAGGCGACGACCAGUAGCCGGUCUGAGGGGAUGAACGGCCACAUUGGGACUGAGAUACGGCCCAGACUCCUACGGGAGGCAGCAGUGGGGAAUAUUGGGCAAUGGGCGAAAGCCUGACCCAGCAACGCCGCGUGAAGGAAGAAGGCCUUCGGGUUGUAAACUUCUUUUACCAGGGACGAAGGACGUGACGGUACCUGGAGAAAAAGCAACGGCUAACUACGUGCCAGCAGCCGCGGUAAUACGUAGGUUGCAAGCGUUGUCCGGAUUUACUGGGUGUAAAGGGCGUGUAGGCGGAGAUGCAAGUUAGGAGUGAAAUCUAUGGGCUCAACCCAUAAACUGCUUCUAAAACUGUAUCCCUUGAGUAUCGGAGAGGCAAGCGGAAUUCCUAGUGUAGCGGUGAAAUGCGUAGAUAUUAGGAGGAACACCAGUGGCGAAGGCGGCUUGCUGGACGACAACUGACGCUGAGGCGCGAAAGCGUGGGGAGCAAACAGGAUUAGAUACCCUGGUAGUCCACGCUGUAAACGAUGAAUACUAGGUGUGGGGGGACUGACCCCCUCCGUGCCGCAGUUAACACAAUAAGUAUUCCACCUGGGGAGUACGACCGCAAGGUUGAAACUCAAAGGAAUUGACGGGGGCCCGCACAAGCAGUGGAUUAUGUGGUUUAAUUCGACGCAACGCGAAGAACCUUACCAGGACUUGACAUCCAACUAACGAAGUAGAGAUACAUCAGGUGCCCUUCGGGGAAAGUUGAGACAGGUGGUGCAAGGUUGUCGUCAGCUCGUGUCGUGAGAUGUUGGGUUAAGUCCCGCAACGAGCGCAACCCUUAUCUUUAGUAGCCAGCGGUUCGGCCGGGCACUCUAGAGAGACUGCCAGGGAUAACCUGGAGGAAGGCGGGGAUGACGUCAAAUCAUCAUGCCCCUUAUGACUUGGGCUACACACGUGCUACAAUGGCGUAAACAAAGGGAAGCAAAGCUGUGAAGCCGAGCAAAUCUCAAAAAUAACGUCUCAGUUCGGACUGUAGUCUGCAACCCGACUACACGAAGCUGGAAUCGCUAGUAAUCGCAGAUCAGAAUGCUGCGGUGAAUACGUUCCCGGGUCUUGUACACACCGCCCGUCACACCAUGGGAGUUGGGAAUGCCCGAAGCCAGUGACCUAACCGAAAGGAAGGAGCUGUCGAAGGCAGGCUCGAUAACUGGGGUGAAGUCGUAACAAGGUA
rnacentral:rRNA from 1 species